UUUCAAAAAAAAAUCACUAACGGACUUAAUUCAAAGGAAAGCAACAAACAGAAAGGUAAAGGAAGACUGGCAUGAAACACUCUAAACUCACUGCUUGUAAAAUAUCAUUAAAUUUGCAUGCUACUUUGUACCCUAAAAAUGCCAUGCAGUAAGUUGACUUGUUAGUUUUCCCAUUCGUGUGGGAACUCUUGUACCAGUCAUCUUCAAAAGAUAGUUCUGAGUAAUAGUAAAGAAACAAAACUGGAAGUGUGCUUCAGAUAAUGUUCCUACCUACAAAUUAACAUCACUGCCUAUGCCCAGAAGAGAAUAUCCUUGCCAAAGUACAAUAAACAAUACAGCAAACCCUCAAGCAUUUACUAACAGCAGAAUAGCUAAAAACAAACAACAACAAAAAACAAAACAAAACAUCAACAACAAAAAAACCCUCUUCUGUGUGCUUUGUUUUCAGAUCAUAAAAUUGUUUUCUGCAAACUGAGACCUAAACGCCCAAUUCCCAUCCCACUCUGUUAUCUGGAGCACCAGUGUCCUGUAUUUACCCGCCCCCUCUUCUCAGGUUCACCCCAUAUUUAUCCUAUACACCCCCAAAGCAGGCCCAAAGGGCAUGUCACUAGGUCCUUCACCCGCAGCCACCUCUACCACUCUGGGAUGAGAGUCCCAGUACUGCAAUAGGUCUGUCCCCACUUGGCUCACAGCCCCUUAUCCUCCUGGAGCGAUGCUAGCUGCUACAGCCGGGCUCCCGCGCGACCCUUGUCCGCAAGGCUCUGUGGCUUUCCAGAACGGCCGGCCGCUGCAGGGCCAGGGCACAUAACUACCUACAUAAUCUAUCUUUAUCAUAAUUUAUCUUCAUCCAAUUCCAAGAUGAAGAGAGAGAAGGAAGUAGAGGAAGAUGAACAACAUAAAGAGGAGUUUGGACAAGAGUCAGAUACUCAGCGUAACAGGAAGAUUGACAGCAUGGCUGGGUCUGGAAAUUAAACUGGAAGAUGAAGAUUCAUCUGGAUUCUUGAAGCAUAAGAAAUUAUUACUACCUAUGGAAAGAAAAUGAAAGAAGAAAAGUGGAGUUCUGUAAUAUAUGUAAUAUCCGAAAUAGUCAUUGUUGAUUAACUAAUUGACUAGAGUAAAAAUAAACCAGUAAUCUCAAACUA